UACGGGGGGGGCAAGCGUUGUUCGGAUUUACUGGGCGUAAAGCGCACGUAGGCGGGUCGUUAAGUCAGGGGUGAAAUCCCGGAGCUCAACUCCGGAACUGCCUUUGAUACUGGCGACCUUGAGGCUGGAAGAGGUUAGUGGAAUUCCCAGUGUAGAGGUGAAAUUCGUAGAUAUUGGGAAGAACACCAGUGGCGAAGGCGGCUAACUGGUCCAGAUCUGACGCUGAGGUGCGAAAGCGUGGGGAGCAAACAGG
rnacentral:rRNA from 1 species